GCCGCAGAGCAGGGAUGUGCUCAUGAAGCAAGCUUUGCACUGUCCCAGCAAUGUGCUUUAGCUCUGACACCCAACUGGCACAAGUGCAUCUGGAAUAAAUUCCUUUGCAGCAGCACCAUGACUUUGUUUGAGGGCUGGACAGCAGUGUGGGUGUUUCAUGAGUUUAGUCUGUAUUGUUGAGGUUAGAAAACACUGAGGGAGAAAUCCCAGUUUUUCUGACUCUCACCAAACCUGGCAGUAUCUAAGUAGCCGACAGUAAGGAUAUUAAAUCUAACACACGUAUAGCCACUCAUGGCAGGGAAGCAGGUCGCACACAGACAAUUAAUCCCUUGUCAGCGCUGUUGCUGCUGGUCCAUACAGGCCAGACAUUAAAGGCAUCCCAGGAAACCAUGGCAUCCUGCAAAAGCCUAUUGGAAGAUAGAGAAGGGGAAAUUAUAGAAGAAUAUGGGCAAUACCUGACGAGAUAUAUGUGAAGAAACAGUAGAAAAUAAAGGCAAGUCAAAGAAAAAACACAAAAAAUGUUUAGGUGCUUUAAAUUACUGUCAGCAACUGGUGUUUUGGAUACUCCAUAUGUAGAAAUUUUAAGUUUUCCAUAUUUUUCCGAUCAUUUAUCCAGUUUUGAUAUGAACCUUAGUGACUACUUGUAAAUUACUUUUGCAUCAAUAUGAUAACUUAUAUUUGUUUUAUGGAUUUAAUUUUCUCCCUCAAUUUCCACAGUGACCUGGAGCUAGUACUUUAAAUAUCCUUGUCUCCAAGAUACAAAAUGCUGUUUUGUUGUUUCUUCUGCCCAUGAACCUGUCUGCAUACCAGUUAGAAACUACAGAAGCACCAUAAAGACAAGUUUUAUAGAAAACCAGUGUAUUAGGCCAGGCUGAGCCAGUGUUGAGCACUUCAGUCCCAGGAACAAGUGACAUCUUCAGCACUGCAAGCAUGUUCCAGGCUGUGGCCCUGCUCAGAAUGCAACUCCAGGCAAAGAAAGCAGAAAUAGAAAGGAAAUGGGGCUCAAAAUGGGUCCAGAUCAGUUUCUGAGCACCUGUUGGAAGUGUUGCUGCUCUGGAGCACGAUGCCCUGGUGUAGCCCUGUUCAGCCUCACGCCAGCCCUUCAGAGCUGGCAGGGACUCAGGUACUUCUCAUUUCUUCCAGCUGAUCCAUUCAAAAGAUUCUGCUCACCACUCACCCCUUGCUGGCCAUUCAGUCACCCUGAGGCUCCAGUCACACUUGUGCUUUGAAAGGGACAGCUGAGAGAUGACAAGCCCAUGAAAAUUAAAUU
rnacentral:lncRNA from 1 species